rnacentral:lncRNA from 1 species
AUCAAAGCUCACACUCAAGCCUCUCCAAGUUUCUCUAGCUUUCUCCAAUCUCGUUCACAGGUCUGGGAUCACAUCAAAGCAAGAGGCGUUCUUAAAAAAGAUGGCGAGCAACAAGAUGCUGUUAGCGAUGCUUGUGGUGGUGCUCCUGGUGGGAGUUGACAUUGGAGGAAUUGCAAGUGCGAGCGCCCAGGGGCAAUGCAAGCCGGGGUGGCACUGGGAUGGAAAUCACUGCGUCCUUUGCCUGCUUGGCUGGUACUGGUACAACAAUUCUUGCCAACGCUGCCCGAUCAACUGGUACUGGUAUGACAACUCUUGCCACCGCUGCCAGAUGGGCUGGCGCUGGACUGGAAGUUUCUGCAACGAGAACUGAAGUUGCCCAUCAAGAUCCAAGCUCAUGUAACAUGUCAAUGACAAUAAUCAUUGUAGUUGUGCUGUUUCUUGUGAUAACCUUUUGGUGAAUAAAAUGUGUGUGCUUUUCUUUCCAUGACA